rnacentral:lncRNA from 1 species
UGUUAAUUGGAGUAAUGGGGGGCAAUGUAUUAGUUUCUCGUUAGAUUUCUUGUGUUGAAUUGAUGAGGGGCAGUGUAUUGGUUUCUUCUUAGGACUCUCUCUCUCUCUAUCUCUCUCUCAUGCCAACCCAUUAAUCUUACUGAUUUUUUGGCCUCUCUGAUUUUUUGCUCUCUCUGAUUUUUUCUCUUCCCCAUCAGAAAUCCUCCUUGUUGACACCGAAACCAAUGUUUUUUAAAAAUAAAACCCCUGCCUCGGCAUCCUCUGCCUUCCCCAACCUUAGCAAAAAAGACCCAUAUCUCCUCAUUUUUCUCUUAUUCUCUCCCUCUUCCCUACCAAGAACCAAGUUUGGUAUAUAAACCCUCAUACCACUUUCCCCAAAUGGAAAAUCAUAAGGGCAAACCAUCACAUUAGGCUCAAAAUCCUUAGCUAGGUGAUGCACAUAGUGACCUCUAGCUAGUGGAUUUUACCUCUCUAAAUCUCAUCAAAUUUCUGGCCACUAAACUCUAAUGGCUUGCUUAGAAUCCUCCAAAACCAAUCAGAAUUUCCACUGGAUUCUGGAGAGUUCUGUCCAAUUCUGGCAGAGGCAAAACCAUCCCAAAUAUCCCUAGCCUCGCCACCUGGGCCCCAUGGUUGGGCAUCAAUGACUGUACCAUCAUAGCGUGAGAUUAAGUAUGGAUUAUUUUCAUCAAUUAGUGGGUAUCCAUGGAUAUAACGGUAAAAACCAGGGGAAUAUAUGAUGCAUGGGUAAAAGGCCACAACUGAACCAACCUCCACCUAACCCUUCAUAAAAACGCCAGUUCUUGCUUCUUCGUGGUGAAUUCCCGAGGUUUUAGCUCGAGAGUGUAACCGAUCUUUUCCUUGAGGAGUUCUGAGACAUCCUGUGUCUGUAGCCAAUGGAGAUGAUUUUUGAGUUUGUUUAGUUUUACUUAGCUUCAAUUAUGUUGCUACCAUGCUUCUUUUGCUACCUUUCUUUUUUUUAAUAAAUAAUGUCUAUGAUAUGCAGUUAUGAUGUGG